AGGACCAUUCUGGCUUUUGUCUCUGGCAUC
rnacentral:piRNA from 1 species